CAUUAUAUAAGUCUAGUAUAGUGAAUUUAAUAUUUUUUAGUAUUUUUUUUUUUUACGUAAUAAUUUUUCAUAAUUUUAUUUUAAAAUUAUGUAGUUCAACCAGAGAAGUCGAUAUAAAUGAAUACCUACAAAAUUCGUUUUUUUUUUUUGGCGAUCAAUUUAACCGGCCACCAAUUUGCAGCCAUUCAACGGCGAUCAAUUGUAUAAUUGUACAAUUGAUACCUAUCGACCCAAAAGAAAUAUAUGAAGAACUAAAAAUGUUUUGUCUAACCAUAUAGUUCUCGAAACAAAAAU